CCUACGGGAGGCAGCAGUAGGGAAUCUUCCACAAUGGGCGAAAGCCUGAUGGAGCAACGCCGCGUGGGUGAAGAAGGUCUUCGGAUCGUAAAACUCUGUUGUUAGAGAAGAAAGUGCGUGAGAGUAACUGUUCACGUUUCGACGGUAUCUAACCAGAAAGCCACGGCUAACUACGUGCCAGCAGCCGCGGUAAUACGUAGGUGGCAAGCGUUAUCCGGAUUUAUUGGGCGUAAAGGGAACGCAGGCGGUCUUUUAAGUCUGAUGUGAAAGCCUUCGGCUUAACCGGAGUAGUGCAUUGGAAACUGGGAGACUUGAGUGCAGAAGAGGAGAGUGGAACUCCAUGUGUAGCGGGGAAAUGCGUAGAUAUAUGGAAGAACACCAGUGGCGAAAGCGGCUCUCUGGUCUGUAACUGACGCUGAGGUUCGAAAGCGUGGGUAGCAAACAGGAUUAGAUACCCCUGUAGUC
rnacentral:rRNA from 1 species